rnacentral:rRNA from 1 species
GAUGAACGCUGGCGGCGUGCUUAACACAUGCAAGUCGAGCGAAAAGGUUUGAAAAGAUUUUUCCGAUGAAAUUUAAAAUGGAAAACAGCGGACGGGCGAGUCAUGCGUAGGCAGCCUGCUCCAUACAAAUGGAUAGCAUUUGGAAACGGAUAUUAAUACCUUAGGAGACGUAUCUAGUGCAUGCUAGGUAGGGGAAAGAUUUGUUGGUAUGGGAUGGGCCUGCGUCUGAUUAGCUAGUUGGUGAGGUAACGGCUCACCAGGGCGACGAGGAGUAGCCGACCGGGGAGGGUGACCCGCCAGAUUGGGACUGAGACACGGUCCAAAACCCUACGGGGGGGAGCGGUAGGGAAUACUGCACACGGGGGGCAGCUGUGAUGCAGCAACGCGGCGUGAACGAGGAAGCCCUUUGGGUCGCGAAGUUCUGUUCUAGGUGAUGUAAGCUGACGGUAACCUAGGAGGAAGCCCCGGCUAACUACGUG